GGCCGGGAGCGCGCGGUGGACUCGGCCGCGGCGAGUAGUUAGUUAGUUGUUGUUAGUCAGUGUCAGUUGCUCGGCGGCGGCGGCCGUGGUCACCAGGAAGGGGACGGGACGGACGGUGAUGGUGGUCGCCGCGGCGGCGUGUGCGCCCCUCAGGUAUCUGCCCAAACUGGAACUUAUGCUGUAGACAUUUCUUUGUGGUUUAUCUAAAAACCAAAGGUG
rnacentral:lncRNA from 1 species